AACGAACGCUGGCGGCAUGCCUAACACAUGCAAGUCGAACGAGACCUUCGGGUCUAGUGGCGCACGGGUGCGUAACGCGUGGGAACCUGCCCUUAGGUUCGGAAUAACUCCCCGAAAGGGGUGCUAAUACCGGAUAAUAUCUUCGGACCAAAGAUUUAUCGCCUUUGGAUGGGCCCGCGUUGGAUUAGCUAGUUGGUAGGGUAAAAGCCUACCAAGGCGACGAUCCAUAGCUGGUCUGAGAGGAUGAUCAGCCACACUGGGACUGAGACACGGCCCAGACUCCUACGGGAAGCAGCAGUGGGGAAUAUUGGACAAUGGGCGAAAGCCUGAUCCAGCAAUGCCGCGUGAGUGAUGAAGGCCUUAGGGUUGUAAAGCUCUUUUACCCGGGAUGAUAAUGACAGUACCGGGAGAAUAAGCUCCGGCUAACUCCGUG
rnacentral:rRNA from 1 species